rnacentral:rRNA from 1 species
GGUUAAGCGACUAAGCGUACACGGUGGAUGCCCUGGCAGUCAGAGGCGAUGAAGGACGUGCUAAUCUGCGAAAAGCGUCGGUAAGGUGAUAUGAACCGUUACAGCCGGCGAUGUCCGAAUGGGGAAACCCAGUGCAAUUCGUUGCACUAUCGUUUGAUGAAUACAUAGUCAAACGAGGCGAACCGGGGGAACUGAAACAUCUAAGUACCCCGAGGAAAAGAAAUCAACCGAGAUUCCCCCAGUAGCGGCGAGCGAACGGGGAGCAGCCCGGAGUCUGAAUCAGCUUGUGUGUUAGUGGAAGCGUCUGGAAAGUCGCAGGGUACAGGGUGAUACUCCCGUACACUAAAACGCACAGGCUGUGAACUCGAAGAGUAGGGCGGGACACGUGGUAUCCUGUCUGAAUAUGGGGGGACCAUCCUCCAAGGCUAAAUACUCCUGACUGACCGAUAGUGAACCAGUACCGUGAGGGAAAGGCGAAAAGAACCCCGGCGAGGGGAGUGAAAAAGAACCUGAAACCGUGUACGUACAAGCAGUAGGAGCCCACUUGUUGGGUGACUGCGUACCUUUUGUAUAAUGGGUCAGCGACUUAUAUUCUGUAGCAAGGUUAACCGUAUAGGGGAGCCGCAGGGAAACCGAGUCUUAACUGGGCGUUAAGUUGCAGGGUAUAGACCCGAAACCCGGUGAUCUAGCCAUGGGCAGGUUGAAGGUUGGGUAACACUAACUGGAGGACCGAACCGACUAAUGUUGAAAAAUUAGCGGAUGACUUGUGGCUGGGGGUGAAAGGCCAAUCAAACCGGGAGAUAGCUGGUUCUCCCCGAAAGCUAUUUAGGUAGCGCCUCGUGAAUUCAUCUUCGGGGGUAGAGCACUGUUUCGGCUAGGGGGUCAUCCCGACUUACCAACCCGAUGCAAACUACGAAUACCGAAGAAUGUUAUCACGGGAGACACACGGCGGGUGCUAACGUCCGUCGUGAAGAGGGAAACAACCCAGACCGCCAGCUAAGGUCCCAAAGUCAUGGUUAAGUGGGAAACGAUGUGGGAAGGCCCAGACAGCCAGGAUGUUGGCUUAGAAGCAGCCAUCAUUUAAAGAAAGCGUAAUAGCUCACUGGUCGAGUCGGCCUGCGCGGAAGAUGUAACGGGGCUAAACCAUGCACCGAAGCUGCGGCAGCGACACUAUGUGUUGUUGGGUAGGGGAGCGUUCUGUAAGCCGUUGAAGGUGGCCUGUGAGGGUUGCUGGAGGUAUCAGAAGUGCGAAUGCUGACAUAAGUAACGAUAAUGCGGGUGAAAAACCCGCACGCCGGAAGACCAAGGGUUCCUGUCCAACGUUAAUCGGGGCAGGGUGAGUCGACCCCUAAGGCGAGGCCGAAAGGCGUAGUCGAUGGGAAACAGGUUAAUAUUCCUGUACUUGGUGUUACUGCGAAGGGGGGACGGAGAAGGCUAUGUUGGCCGGGCGACGGUUGUCCCGGUUUAAGCGUGUAGGUGUGUGUUCCAGGUAAAUCCGGUUCACUUUAACACUGAGGCGUGAUGACGAGGCACUACGGUGCUGAAGUGACAAAUGCCCUGCUUCCAGGAAAAGCCUCUAAGCAUCAGGUAACACGAAAUCGUACCCCAAACCGACACAGGUGGUCAGGUAGAGAAUACCAAGGCGCUUGAGAGAACUCGGGUGAAGGAACUAGGCAAAAUGGUGCCGUAACUUCGGGAGAAGGCACGCUGAUAUGUAGGUGAAGUGGUUUACCCAUGGAGCUGAAAUCAGUCGAAGAUACCAGCUGGCUGCAACUGUUUAUUAAAAACACAGCACUGUGCAAACACGAAAGUGGACGUAUACGGUGUGACGCCUGCCCGGUGCCGGAAGGUUAAUUGAUGGGGUUAUCCGUAAGGAGAAGCUCUUGAUCGAAGCCCCGGUAAACGGCGGCCGUAACUAUAACGGUCCUAAGGUAGCGAAAUUCCUUGUCGGGUAAGUUCCGACCUGCACGAAUGGCGUAAUGAUGGCCAGGCUGUCUCCACCCGAGACUCAGUGAAAUUGAACUCGCUGUGAAGAUGCAGUGUACCCGCGGCAAGACGGAAAGACCCCGUGAACCUUUACUAUAGCUUGACACUGAACACUGGUCCUUGAUGUGUAGGAUAGGUGGGAGGCUUUGAAGUGUGGACGCCAGUCUGCAUGGAGCCAUCCUUGAAAUACCACCCUUUAAUGGCUGGUGUUCUAACGUGGGCCCGUAAUCCGGGUUGCGGACAGUGUCUGGUGGGUAGUUUGACUGGGGCGGUCUCCUCCUAAAGAGUAACGGAGGAGCACGAAGGUCAGCUAAUCCUGGUCGGACAUCAGGAGGUUAGUGCAAUGGCAUAAGCUGGCUUGACUGCGAGCGUGACGGCGCGAGCAGGUGCGAAAGCAGGUCAUAGUGAUCCGGUGGUUCUGAAUGGAAGGGCCAUCGCUCAACGGAUAAAAGGUACUCCGGGGAUAACAGGCUGAUACCGCCCAAGAGUUCAUAUCGACGGCGGUGUUUGGCACCUCGAUGUCGGCUCAUCACAUCCUGGGGCUGAAGUAGGUCCCAAGGGUAUGGCUGUUCGCCAUUUAAAGUGGUACGCGAGCUGGGUUUAGAACGUCGUGAGACAGUUCGGUCCCUAUCUGCCGUGGGCGCUGGAGAAUUGAGGGGGGCUGCUCCUAGUACGAGAGGACCGGAGUGGACGCAUCACUGGUGUUCGGGUUGUCAUGCCAAUGGCAUUGCCCGGUAGCUAAAUGCGGAAGAGAUAAGUGCUGAAAGCAUCUAAGUACGAAACUUGCCCCGAGAUGAGUUCUCCCUGACUCCUUGAGAGUCCUGAAGGAACGUUGAAGACGACGACGUUGAUAGGCCGGGUGUGUAAGCGCAGCGAUGCGUUGAGCUAACCGGUACUAAUGAACCGUGAGGCUUAACCUU